ACUGCUGAAAUCUGCAGUCGAUGAAAAAUAAUGAAGAUGAAUACAACUGGAAAAGGAAUUCAGAGUGCAGAGAUGAGCGGGUUAGUUUCUCAGAGAACCAAACCCCUACGAACUUCACGAUCCGAGGCGGGAACCGAGUCCGCUCGGGACUUCCCACCAGACUUAGAUCCCAGAACAAGGCAAAACGUCAUCACGGGUUUCUCACAGAUUUUGGAUACCAUAUAAGGAGCUGGGCAUUGCUGCCAUUUUCACUCCGGACUUCGAGAGUGAGGAAGACAGACCUCUGUCUCUUUUUGUGGGUGGUGGCGUCGGGUGGGCCAUUUAAAUCACUUCCCGUACAAUCUAGGAGAAUCAAGCGAAGAACAGGGUGAAUGGUUCCACCAGGAUAAUGGAAGAAAGAUAUCAAGGAAGGUGGAAUUGUCACAUGAUGGCUGAUUACUGUUGGAGUCUGCAGAGGGACUGCCCGCUACAAGAAUACAAAAAAGAAAAUCUUACAAGAAAAGGUUCUCAUAGCUUCAUUUAUGUAUGUAAUUA